rfam:Hordeum vulgare subsp. vulgare, WGS project CAJW01000000 data, contig: morex_contig_2547253
AGUUGAUGUGAUGAUAAUCUUCCACAGAACAAUCAUAUUUAGUGUUGACCAAAUUACAGACUACAAUUAUCUGAUCAGCU